UGCAGUCGAGCGGACAGAAGGGAGCUCGCUCCCCGAUGUUAGCGGCGGACGGGUGAGUAACACGUGGGUAACCUGCCUGUAUGACUGGGAUAAUUCCGGGAAACCGGAGCUAAUACCGGAUAAUUCCUUGAACCGCUGGGUUCAGGGAUGAAAGACGGUUUCCGCUGUCGCUUACGCAUGGACCCCCGGCGCAUUAGCUAGUUGGUGAGGUAACGGCUCACCAAGGCCACGAUGCGUAGCCAACCUGAGAGGGUGAUCACCCACACUGGGACUGAGACCCGACCCAUACUCCUACCGGAGGCAGCAAUAAGGAAUCUUCCGCCAUGGACCAAAGUCUGACGGACCAACUCCGCGUGAAUGAUGAAGGUUUUCUGAUCCUAAAACUCUGUUGUUAAGGAAGAACAAGUGCAAAAGUAAUUGCUUGCACCUUGACCGUACCUAACCCAAAAGCCACGGCUAACUACGUGCCCGCGACCGCGGUAAUACGUAUGUGGCAACCGUUGUCUACAAUUAUUGGGCCUUAAAGGCUCGCAGGCUGUUUCUUAAUUCUGAUGUGAAGGCC
rnacentral:rRNA from 1 species